CCUACGGGUGGCAGCAGUGAGGAAUAUUGGUCAAUGGACGAGAGUCUGAACCAGCCAAUUAGCGUGAAGGAUGACUGCCCUAUGGGUUGUAAACUUCUUUUAUAUGGGAAUAAAACGUUCCACGUGUGGGAUUUUGUAUGUACCAUAUGAAUAAGGAUCGGCUAACUCCGUGCCAGCAGCCGCGGUAAUACGGAGGAUCCGAGCGUUAUCCGGAUUUAUUGGGUUUAAAGGGAGCGUAGGUGGAUUGUUAAGUCAGUUGUGAAAGUUUGCGGCUCAACCGUAAAAUUGCAGUUGAAACUGGCAGUCUUGAGUACAGUAGAGGUGGGCGGAAUUCGUGGUGUAGCGGUGAAAUGCUUAGAUAUCACGAAGAACUCCGAUUGCGAAGGCAGUUCACUGGACUGCAACUGACACUGAGGCUCGAAAGUGUGGGUAUCAAACAGGAUUAGAUACCCCUGUAGUC
rnacentral:rRNA from 1 species